rnacentral:rRNA from 1 species
UACGUAGGGUGCGAGCGUUAAUCGGAAUUACUGGGCGUAAAGCGUGCGCAGGCGGUCUGUUAAGACCGAUGUGAAAUCCCCGGGCUUAACCUGGGAAUGGCAUUUGGGACUGCAAGGCUUGAGUGCGGCAGAGGAGACUGGAAUUCCUGGUGGAGCGGUGAAAUGCGUAGAGAUCGGAAAGAACACCAACGGCGAAAGCACUCUGCUGGGCCGACACUGACACUGAGAGACGAAAGCUAGGGGAGCGAAUGGG